rnacentral:lncRNA from 1 species
UCUUAUUGAAUACUACUAAUUUGAUUAUCUUUGAUCUUUAUUGAAGUGGUCCUUAAUUAUCUGAUCUUGAUUGGAUAAAGUUAACAUGAUUGGACCAAUCCAGACCGUUGGUUGCAACAAUCAUUCAUCAUGUGUUUCUUGAUUAUUCAUAUUCUUUUUAAUUAUUAGAUUCAAUUAUGUAUAGGAGUGUAGUUGUCUCGACAAAAAGAUAUCCAACAG